rnacentral:rRNA from 1 species
GACAGAAGGUGCGAACGUUGUUCGGAAUUACUGGGCGUAAAGCGCGUGUAGGCUGCUCGGAAAGUCGGAUGUGAAAGCCCUGGGCUCAACCCAGGAAGUGCAUUCGAAACUCCCGAGCUGGAGUCCCGGAGAGGAAGGCGGAAUUCUCGGUGUAGAGGUGAAAUUCGUAGAUAUCUGGAGGAACACCGGUGGCGAAGGCGGCAUCCUGGACCGAUACUGACGCUGAGGAGCGAAAGCCAGGGGAGCAAACGGG